rnacentral:sRNA from 1 species
CCCUUUCACAACUUAUUUCAAAUCACUUCGUGAUCAAUCUAUAUUUUAAU